rnacentral:misc_RNA from 1 species
CAGAGUUGCAAAACUCCCAACCAUUGUGAACCUACCUCACCGUUGCUUCGGCGGGUGGCCCCCCUCCGGGGCCGCGCCGGCCCCCCUCGGGGUCGGCAACCCGUCAGAAGACCGAAACUCUUAGUAACCACUGGCCUCUCUGAGUAACUUAUACAAUAAGUCA